rnacentral:rRNA from 1 species
UGGGGAAUAUUGCACAAUGGGCGCAAGCCUGAUGCAGCCAUGCCGCGUGUAUGAAGAAGGCCUUCGGGUUGUAAAGUACUUUCAGCGAGGAGGAAGGCGGUAAGGUUAAUAACCUUAUCGAUUGACGUUACUCGCAGAAGAAGCACCGGCUAACUCCGUGCCAGCAGCCGCGGUAAUACGGAGGGUGCAAGCGUUAAUCGGAAUUACUGGGCGUAAAGCGCACGCAGGCGGUCUGUCAAGUCGGAUGUGAAAUCCCCGGGCUCAACCUGGGAACUGCAUUCGAAACUGGCAGGCUAGAGUCUUGUAGAGGGGGGUAGAAUUCCAGGUGUAGCGGUGAAAUGCGUAGAGAUCUGGAGGAAUACCGGUGGCGAAGGCGGCCCCCUGGACAAAGACUAACGCUCAGGUGCGAAAGCGUGGGGAGCAAACA